rnacentral:rRNA from 1 species
AACGAACGCUGGCGGCGCGCCUAAUACAUGCAAGUCGAGCGAGAAGACGUAGCAAUACGUUUGUAAAGCGGCGAACGGGUGAGGAAUACAUGGGUAACCUACCCUCGAGUGGGGAAUAACUAGCCGAAAGGUUAGCUAAUACCGCGUACGCUCCUCGGACUUCGGUUCAGGGAGGAAAGCGAUACCGUGGGUAUCGCGCUCUUGGAUGGGCUCAUGUCCUAUCAGCUUGUUGGGAGGUAACGGCUCACCAAGGCUUCGACGGGUAGCUGGUCUGAGAGGACGAUCAGCCACACUGGCACUGCGACACGGGCCAGACUCCUACGGGAGGCAGCAGUAAGGAAUAUUGCGCAAUGGGCGAAAGCCUGACGCAGCGACGCCGCGUGGGGGAGUGAAGGUC